AACGAACGCUGGCGGCGUGCCUAACACAUGCAAGUCGUGCGAGAAAGCCUCCUUCGGGAGGCCGGUAAAGCGGCGCACGGGUGAGUAACACGUGGGUAAUUUACCCUUAGGUCUGGAAUAACCCGGCGAAAGCCGGGCUAAUACCGGAUACACGGCGAGGACCUCGGUUCUUGUCGGAAAAGGUGGCCUCUUCUUGAAAGCUACCGCCGAAGGAUGAGCCCGCGUCCCAUUAGCUUGUUGGUGAGGUAACGGCUCACCAAGGCCGAGAUGGGUAGCUGGUCUGAGAGGAUGACCAGCCACACUGGAACUGAGACACGGUCCAGACUCCUACGGGAGGCAGCAGUGAGGAAUUUUGCGCAAUGGGCGAAAGCCUGACGCAGCAACGCCGCGUAAGGGAUGAAGGCCUUCGGGUCGUAAACCUCUGUCAGGGGGGAAGAACAGCGGGGUGGUAAACAAUCACUUCGCCUGACGGUACCCCCAAAGGAAGCACCGGCUAACUCCGUGCCAGCCGCCGCUGUAAGAC
rnacentral:rRNA from 1 species